UACGUAGGUGGCAAGCGUUACCCGGAAUUAUUGGGCGUAAAGCGCGCGCAGGUGGUUUCUUAAGUCUGAUGUGAAAGCCCACGGCUCAACCGUGGAGGGUCAUUGGAAACUGGGAGACUUGAGUGCAGAAGAGGAAAGUGGAAUUCCAUGUGUAGCGGUGAAAUGCGUAGAGAUAUGGAGGAACACCAGUGGCGAAGGCGACUUUCUGGUCUGUAACUGACACUGAGGCGCGAAAGCGUGGGGAGCAAACAGG
rnacentral:rRNA from 1 species